CAUAUUUAAUCCUUUAAACUCCCUUCACAUUCAGCCAACGGAAUUAUGGAACAAUCGGGCAAAUAUUUUAGAUGGCCAACGCCGAUAUUUCACAAAUCCAAUGCCAAAAAAGAGUACCCGUUUAGGUGAUAUGAAACUGAAGGGAGAAGUUGAUGGUGAUAAGCUCCAUAUUCAUGUCAGUGAUCCAAAUUCCAGAGAAGAAGUAUUGACCAUCACACUAUGGGCACAAGAAGUUAGACGUGCCAAGGGAUUAACUCUUACGUACAAAAAUCCUAAAACCGGAACAACAGCCCAAACUUAUUACACAGAUAUCUAAAAUCGUCUUAAAAAUAAAUAUAUAUUUAUUAGUUGAAUUUUCACAUUAAUUAUAUUCAUACUAUAGAAUGGGUAUAUUUUUAGCAAAAUAAUAAAUUACUUCAUUAUA
rnacentral:lncRNA from 1 species